UUCAAAUACCGGUUCCCUCUACGAUCACCGAAGUUAAGCAACGUCAAGCCCUGUUAGUACCUAGAUGGGUGGCCGCUUGGGAAUACCAGGUGCUGUAAG